rnacentral:lncRNA from 1 species
GCGCGUCAGCGGAGGAAAAUAGGCUUGCAGAGGACUCCCUUCUCUCUCCUCCUGGAAACCUUCCCCAACCUUGUUCCCCCGCCAAGGAUUAGUUGCCGUUGAAGGGGGCUCCGCCAAUGAAAUCUUCUCUGCGCUCUGAUUUGGCGGUUCUUCGGUGCAAAUAUGACAGCUUUCUCUCUCAGCUCUUUUCUGCAUCUCUCCAUGUCCGACCCCGGAGCUCAGUUCUCGGUCUGCAAUUUCUACACCACAACCUUUGCAAUCACCACCACCACCACCACCACCACCCCUAGGUCCCAUGUCAGCAGGUGCCAGGUUGCUACAAAGGUGACAGGGCACAUUGGGAAGAAGGCUUGUUGAUUGCAGAAGAUACUUAUGCCCCGUAUUUC